rnacentral:pre_miRNA from 3 species
AGUGGAAUGGUUGGAUCAUAUGGUUAAGUGUAUUUUGACUUUUUGAGGAAUUGACAGAAUGUUUUCCGAAGUGGUUGUGCCAUUUUACAUUUCCAUCAGCAAU